AGAAAACACACACAUGAGUUAAGAACAGGACUAAACCGCUGUUAAAACAAUGGAAAUUUUAGUAGAGUCCUAAGUACUAUAUAACUCAUAUACACACACUCUUGCCACACAAUGUAGAAUCCGAAGGAACAACAGAUAUAUCAUAUUCAUACCUAUACAUCUUGGAGCCAAAAGUUGAUUACUGACACCAAUAUGACCAACA
rnacentral:misc_RNA from 1 species